AACAAUUUGUGAAUACCUUUUUCCUUUGAAACUAAAAUGGCUUACUUUAAGAAGCUUAUCUUAAACAUGGUUAUCAUAUUUCUGCUACUCUUAUCAUUGAAUCUGACAGCAGCAAGGGUGCCCUUUUGGAUGUCCCAACACAAACCAUAUGGACGGCUCCUUGAGAAAGCAGAUGAUCCACAAGGCCAUAAUUAUUAUCUUUAUACGCCUCCUCCUCAGAGAAGAUGAUCCACAACACCAUAAUUAUUAUGCUCAUCAUCCAUGGUUUGAAGGAAAACUUGCAAUGCAGAAGCAUAUAGAUAUAACUGCUUAUAUAUGUAUUGUAAAUAAUUGAUUUAUAACAAAUAACUUUUAUAUAUAUAUAUCUGUAUUACUUGAUUAAGACUUCUAUGACACCAAACUUUGAAGAGAAUAAGUGUGUCUAAAUUUCAACAAUGGAUAUUAUUGAAUUUGUGGUUAGCAUUUGCAUAUGAACAUUUUCCAUCAAAAAUUUAUUAUGAGGACACAAAUAAUGGACUAGAAAAAUAGUACUGCACUG
rnacentral:sRNA from 1 species